rnacentral:rRNA from 1 species
GCGUUGUUCGGAAUUACUGGGCGUAAAGCGCGCGCAGGCGGCUAUCCAAGUCAGUGGUGAAAGCCCGGAGCUCAACUCCGGAACUGCCAUUGAAACUGUUUAGCUUGAGGACGAGAGAGGUGAGUGGAAUUCCCAGUGUAGAGGUGAAAUUCGUAGAUAUUGGGAAGAACACCGGUGGCGAAGGCGGCUCACUGGCUCGUAUCUGACGCUCAGGCGCGACAGCGUG